rnacentral:misc_RNA from 1 species
AAGGAGUCUAACAUAUGCGCAAGUAUUUGGGUGGCAAGCCCUUGGGCGAAAUGAAAGUGAAAUAGGUUUAGUUUUAUUACAAAAACCGGGCCAGGAAUAUGGAAUUUAUUACUUGUAAUGAGUUUACAAUUGAGCGUACAUGUUGGGACCCGAAAGAUGGUGAACUAUGCUUGAAUAGGGCGAAGCCAGAGGAAACUCUGGUGGAGGCUCGUAGCGGUUAUGGCGUGCAAAUCUUUCGUUGAAUUUGGGUAUAGGGGCGAAAGACUAAUCGAACCAUUUAGUAGCUGGUUCCCUC